GCCAAGUUCGGUUCAAUCUUUAAGCGUGUGUCACUGAGCCCACCCGACCUCCAAAUAGAGAGCUAUUUGGAUGGGAGGUUGGGGAGGCAAGGAAGCAGAGGAUACCUGGGGCUUGAGAGGCCAGAGGUCCGCGAACCAUUUUUUUCUGGAGACUGGGACUAAGCCGCCGCACGCCUGGAUCUCCUCGACGGUUCCGAGAAUAGUCGCAACCCUGUAAAAUGUUAACAUGCUGUAACUCGGGCACAGAUUAUCCGAUUACGGCACUAUUUGGACAGCGAGGGCACUCUGUGUGGGGGAAAGGCUUUAAUCACUGCUUUACAGGAGAGAAUGACUCCAGAGCUAUAACUGCUGCAGCU